rnacentral:rRNA from 2 species
GCUCAGGACGAACGCUGGCGGCGUGCCUAAUACAUGCAAGUCGAACGAACUCUGGUAUUGAUUGGUGCUUGCAUCAUGAUUUACAUUUGAGUGAGUGGCGAACUGGUGAGUAACACGUGGGAAACCUGCCCAGAAGCGGGGGAUAACACCUGGAAACAGAUGCUAAUACCGCAUAACAACUUGGACCGCAUGGUCCGAGYUUGAAAGAUGGCUUCGGCUAUCACUUUUGGAUGGUCCCGCGGCGUAUUAGCUAGAUGGUGGGGUAACGGCUCACCAUGGCAAUGAUACGUAGCCGACCUGAGAGGGUAAUCGGCCACAUUGGGACUGAGACACGGCCCAAACUCCUACGGGAGGCAGCAGUAGGGAAUCUUCCACAAUGGACGAAAGUCUGAUGGAGCAACGCCGCGUGAGUGAAGAAGGGUUUCGGCUCGUAAAACUCUGUUGUUAAAGAAGAACAUAUCUGAGAGUAACUGUUCAGGUAUUGACGGUAUUUAACCAGAAAGCCACGGCUAACUACGUGCCAGCAGCCGCGGUAAUACGUAGGUGGCAAGCGUUGUCCGGAUUUAUUGGGCGUAAAGCGAGCGCAGGCGGUUUUUUAAGUCUGAUGUGAAAGCCUUCGGCUCAACCGAAGAAGUGCAUCGGAAACUGGGAAACUUGAGUGCAGAAGAGGACAGUGGAACUCCAUGUGUAGCGGUGAAAUGCGUAGAUAUAUGGAAGAACACCAGUGGCGAAGGCGGCUGUCUGGUCUGUAACUGACGCUGAGGCUCGAAAGUAUGGGUAGCAAACAGGAUUAGAUACCCUGGUAGUCCAUACCGUAAACGAUGAAUGCUAAGUGUUGGAGGGUUUCCGCCCUUCAGUGCUGCAGCUAACGCAUUAAGCAUUCCGCCUGGGGAGUACGGCCGCAAGGCUGAAACUCAAAGGAAUUGACGGGGGCCCGCACAAGCGGUGGAGCAUGUGGUUUAAUUCGAAGCUACGCGAAGAACCUUACCAGGUCUUGACAUACUAUGCAAAUCUAAGAGAUUAGACGUUCCCUUCGGGGACAUGGAUACAGGUGGUGCAUGGUUGUCGUCAGCUCGUGUCGUGAGAUGUUGGGUUAAGUCCCGCAACGAGCGCAACCCUUAUUAUCAGUUGCCAGCAUUAAGUUGGGCACUCUGGUGAGACUGCCGGUGACAAACCGGAGGAAGGUGGGGAUGACGUCAAAUCAUCAUGCCCCUUAUGACCUGGGCUACACACGUGCUACAAUGGAUGGUACAACGAGUUGCGAACUCGCGAGAGUAAGCUAAUCUCUUAAAGCCAUUCUCAGUUCGGAUUGUAGGCUGCAACUCGCCUACAUGAAGUCGGAAUCGCUAGUAAUCGCGGAUCAGCAUGCCGCGGUGAAUACGUUCCCGGGCCUUGUACACACCGCCCGUCACACCAUGAGAGUUUGUAACACCCAAAGUCGGUGGGGUAACCUUUUAGGAACCAGCCGCCUAAGGUGGGACAGAUGAUUAGGGUGAAGUCGUAACA